GAUCCCUUCCCGAACUCAGAAGUGAAACGACGCAUCGCCGAUGGUAGUGUGGGGUCUCCCCAUGUGAGAGUAGGUCAUCGUCAAGC
rnacentral:rRNA from 1 species